rnacentral:rRNA from 1 species
AGAGUUUGAUCAUGGCUCAGAACGAACGCUGGCGGCGUGGCUAAGGCAUGCAAGUCGAACGAAGUUAUUUCGGGUGGCAACACUUGGGAUAACUUAGUGGCGAACGGGUGAGUAAUGCGUGGGUAACGUACCCUGAACUUAGGGAUAGCGGCGGUCUUCGGACCUUUAGCGAAAGUGCCGGUAAUACCUGAUAACAUCGACGGACCUCAUGAUCUGUCGAUCAAAGUUUUUCGGUUUGGGAGCGGCCCACGUCCUAUCAGCUUGUUGGUGGGGUAAAAGCCUACCAAGGCUAUGACGGGUAGCCGGCGUGAGAGCGUGAUCGGCCACAUCGGGACUGAGACACUGCCCGGACACCUACGGGUGGCUGCAGCAACGAAUAAUCCGCAAUGGGCGAAAGCCUGACGGUGCGACGCCGCGUGAAGGAUGAAGUUCCUCGGGAUGUAAACUUCAAUAGUAUGUCAGGAAGAUCUGACCAGCAUACGAAAGGGGUGGCUAACUCCGUGCCAGCAGCCGCGGUAACACGGAGACCCCUAGCGUUGUUCGGAAUCACUGGGCUUAAAGAGCGUGUAGGCGGAACGGAAAGUACCUUGUGAAAGCCCCCGGCUCAACCGGGGAGUGGCUUGGUAUACUAUCGUUCUUGAGGCAGGUAGGGGUUGCUGGAACCUUAGGUGGAGCGGUGAAAUGCGUAGAUAUCUAAGGGAACGCCUGUGGCGAAAGCGGGCAACUGGACCUGUACUGACGCUGAGACGCGAAAGCGUAGGUAGCGAACGGGAUUAGAUACCCCGGUAGUCUACGCCGUAAACGAUGCGCACUAGGUUCGAGAAUCUCUGACGGUUUUCGUGCCGAAACAAAAGCGAUAAGUGCGCCGCCUGGGGAGUACGGCCGCAAGGCUAAAACUCAAAGGAAUUGACGGGGGCUCACACAAGCGGUGGAGCAUGUGGAUUAAUUCGAAGCAACGCGAAGAACCUUACCUGGGUUGAACUACGGCGGAUGCUCUCGGUGAAAGUCGAGUAGGCUGCCUUCGGGUGAAACGUCGAUAGGUGCUGCAUGGCUGUCGUCAGCUCGUGCUGUGAAGUGUCGGGUUAAGUCCCUUAACGAGCGAAACCCUUAUCGUUAGUUACCAGCGGGUAAAGCCGGGAACUCUAGCGAGACUGCCGGCGUUAAGCCGGAGGAAGGCGGGGACGACGUCAAGUCAUCAUGGCCUUUAUGUCCAGGGUGUCACACGUGCUACAAUGGGGCGUACAGAGCGACGCGAGACCGUAAGGUGGAGCAAAUCGCACAAAACGUUCCUCAGUUCGGAUUGAGGUCUGCAACUCGACCUCAUGAAGCUGGAAUCGCUAGUAAUCGCGUAUCAGCCAUGACGCGGUGAAUAUGUUCCUGAGCCUUGUACACACCGCCCGUCAAGUCAUGGAAGCUGGGAGCUCCCGAAGUCGCCACAUUUCGGUGGUGCCGACGGAGAGCCUGGUGACUGGGACUAAGUCGUAACAAGGUA